UACGGAGGGUGCAAGCGUUAUCCGGAUUUACUGGGUUUAAAGGGUGCGUAGGCGGAGAGGUAAGUCAGUGGUGAAAUCCCCGAGCUCAACUUGGGAACUGCCGUUGAUACUAUCUGUCUUGAAUACCGUGGAGGUGAGCGGAAUAUGUCAUGUAGCGGUGAAAUGCUUAGAUAUGACAUAGAACACCGAUUGCGAAGGCAGCUCACUACGCGGUCAUUGACGCUGAGGCACGAAAGCGUGGGGAGCAAACAGG
rnacentral:rRNA from 1 species